AGGGGCGAUCGGGAGAGCAAUACUGCCGGCGACCGGCGCAAGGGUGCGUAACGCGUGAGCAACAUGCCCGUAUCAGGGGGAUAAUCCAUGGAAACGUGGUCUAAUACCCCAUAGUAAUUAUGUAAGGCAUCUUAUAUAAUUUAAAGCUUUGGUGGAUACGGAUUGGCUCGCGUGACAUUAGCUAGAUGGUAAGGUAACGGCUUACCAUGGCUACGAUGUCUAGGGGUUCUGAGAGGAAGGUCCCCCCACACUGGAACUGAGACACGGUCCAGACUCCUACGGGAGGCGGCAGUGAGGAAUAUUGGACAAUGGAUGGAAAUCUGAUCCAGCCAUGCCGCGUGCAGGAAGAACCGGCCCUAUGGGUUGUAAACUGCUUUUGUAUGGGAGCAAUAAGGGCUACGCGUAGUCCGAUGAGAGUACCAUACGAAUAAGCACCGGCUAACUCCGUGCCAGCAGCUGC
rnacentral:rRNA from 1 species